CCCGAGUAGGCAUAGUUUAAAUUAAAACCUUAAGCUGUGGAACUUAACAACAGGA
rnacentral:tRNA from 1 species